GGCCGGUUAGCUCAGUUGGUUAGAGCGUCGUGCUAAUAACGCGAAUGUCGCGGGUUCGAUCCCCUUACUGGCCA
rfam:Ciona savignyi cont_35602, whole genome shotgun sequence.